rnacentral:snRNA from 1 species
AAGCGACGCAUGCGCCCGCCG